rnacentral:rRNA from 1 species
AUUGAACGCUGGCGGCAGGCCUAACACAUGCAAGUCGAACGAGUGGCGGACGGGUGCGUAAUGUCUGGGAAACUGCCCGCUGGAGGGGGGUCACUACUGGAAACGGUAGCUAAUACCGCAUACCAUCGGAUGUGCCCGGAUGGGAUUAGCUAGUAGGUGGGGUAACGGCGAACCUAGGCGACGAUCCCAAGCUGGUCUGAGAGGAUGACCAGCCACACUGGAACUGAGACACGGUCCAGACUCCGGCGGGAGGCAGCAGGGGGGAAUAUUGCACAAUGGGCGCAAGCCUGAUGCAGCCAUGCCGCGUGUAUGAAGAAGGCCUUCGGGUUGUAAAGUACUGUCAGCUAGGAGGCGUUACUCGCAGAAGAAGCACCGGCUAACUCCGUGCCAGCAGCCGCGGUAAUUC